GUCCCUUUGGCAGCAUGUAUACUAAAAUGGGAAACACACAGAGAUUAGCAUGGUCACUGCACAAGGAUGACAUGGAAAUUCAUGAAGCAUUCCAUAUUUUU
rnacentral:snRNA from 1 species